rfam:Ceratocystis platani strain CFO contig_00604, whole genome shotgun sequence.
AAGAUUUAGAGCUUAAUUCUGGCUCAGGACGAAUGCUAGCAGUACAUAUAACCCAUGCAAGUCGAACGAAAAUUAUAACUAUUUCGGUAGUAACUAUUUUAGUGGCGAACGAGCGAGUAAUACAAGAGAACUUGCCUUUUAGUAAGGAAUAAAGAAAGGAAAUUUUCCCUAAUACUUUAUAAAUUAUUUAUUUAGUAGAUAAAAUAACAAAGGCUUAAAUCAGUUAAAAAGAUUAAAGUCGCUGAAAGAGAGGCUCUUGCCCGAUUAGAUAGUUGGUGAGGUAAAGGCUCACCAAGUCGAAGAUCGGUAGCCGGUUUGGAAGAACGGUCGGCCGCGAUGAAACUGAGACACGGUUCAUACUCCUACGGGAGGCAGCAGGGAGGAAUUUUGGACAAUGAAGGAAACUUUGAUCCAGUGAUACUGCGUGAAUGAUGAAGGCCUAUGGGUCGUAAAAUUCUUUUAAUAGCUAAGAUAAUGACGUUAACUAUUGAAUAAAUUCUGUCUAAUUCUGUGCCAGCAGACGCGGUAAUACAGAAAGGAUGAGCAUUGUCCGGUUUUAUUGGGCGUAAAGAGUUCUAAGGCUUUCAGAUAAGUUUAUAUCUUACAUACUAAUUCUCAAAAUUAGUCUGGAUUAAAUACUGUCUGGAUCUGAAAUAAAUAGAGGAAGAGAGAAUUCUUAAUCUAGUGGUAAAAUAUGUAAAUUAAGAGGAAUACCGAAUGCGAAAGCGCUCUUCUAGGUUUAUUUGACGCUGUACGAACGAAACCCUAGGUAGCAAACGGGAUUAGAUACCCCGGUAGUCUAGGGCGUAAACGAUGAAGGUUAAUGGUUCAUUUUUGUAAUUGAAAGAACGUGAAUGAGUCGUAAAGCUAACGCAUUAAACCUUCCGCCUGAAGAUUACGAUGGCAACAUUAAAAUUUAAAGAAAUUGACGUGAGGACAUAUAUACGGUGGAACAUGAGGUUUAAUUCGUAACUACGCGCAAAACCUUACCCACGUUUGUAUUGGUUUAAUUCCUACUAGAGAUAGUGGGAAGACUUUGUCAACUCCAACAGGUGCUGCAUGGCUGUCGUCAAUUCGUGCCGUGAGGUCUUAUGUUAAGUCUGGUAACGAAUGUAACUCUCAUUCAUAGUUAUUAAUCCUUCGGGAAACCCCUAUGAAGACUGCUUAUGAAAAUAAGAGGAAGGUGAGAAUGAAGUCAAGUCCUUAUAGGGUCGUGAAAGAGUGAUCUGGAACUAAUCCUUAAAAUUAACCCUAGUUCGGAUUGUAGUCUGCAACUCGACUACAUGAAGCUGAAAUCGUUAGUAAUCGCAAAUCAGCACGUUGCGGUGAAUUCAUUUACUGUCCUCUGUACACACUGCCCGUCGCACGGGGGGAGAUAAAAUAUAUUAAAGGGAUUUUUACUAACCUGCAAAGGAAGUGGAUUCUUAUUUAUAUUAGAUUGACUCCUGUUAAGUCGUAACAAGGUAUCCGUAGGGGAAUCUGCGGAUGGAAACAAAAAGAG